rnacentral:rRNA from 1 species
AGAGUUUGAUCCUGGCUCAGGAUGAACGCUGGCGGCGUGCUUAACACAUGCAAGUCGAACGAUCCUUCGGGAUAGUGGCGGACGGGUGAGUAACGCGUGGGAAUCUGCCCUUAGGAGGGGGAUAACGGCUGGAAACGGCCGCUAAUACCCCAUAUGCCGAGAGGUGAAAGGAAAUUCGCCUGAGGAUGAGCCCGCGUCUGAUUAGCUAGUUGGUGGGGUAAAGGCCUACCAAGGCGACGAUCAGUAGCUGGUCUGAGAGGAUGAUCAGCCACACUGGGACUGAGACACGGCCCAGACUCCUACGGGAGGCAGCAGUGGGGAAUUUUCCGCAAUGGGCGAAAGCCUGACGGAGCAACGCCGCGUGGGGGAUGAAGGCCUCUGGGCUGUAAACCCCUUUUCUCAAGGAAGAAGACAUGACGGUACUUGAGGAAUAAGCCACGGCUAAUUCCGUGCCAGCAGCCGCGGUAAUACGGGAGUGGCAAGCGUUAUCCGGAAUUAUUGGGCGUAAAGCGUCCGCAGGCGGCUCUGUAAGUCUGUUGUUAAAGCGUGGAGCUCAACUCCAUUUCAGCAAUGGAAACUACAGGGCUUGAGUGUGGUAGGGGCAGAGGGAAUUCCCGGUGUAGCGGUGAAAUGCGUAGAUAUCGGGAAGAACACCAGUGGCGAAGGCGCUCUGCUGGGCCAUAACUGACGCUCAUGGACGAAAGCCAGGGGAGCGAAAGGGAUUAGAUACCCCUGUAGUCCUGGCCGUAAACGAUGAACACUAGGUGUCGGGGGAAUCGACCCCCUCGGUGUCGUAGCCAACGCGUUAAGUGUUCCGCCUGGGGAGUACGCACGCAAGUGUGAAACUCAAAGGAAUUGACGGGGGCCCGCACAAGCGGUGGAGUAUGUGGUUUAAUUCGAUGCAACGCGAAGAACCUUACCAGGGUUUGACAUCCUGCGAACCCCUGAGAAAUCGGGGGGUGCCUUCGGGAGCGCAGAGACAGGUGGUGCAUGGCUGUCGUCAGCUCGUGUCGUGAGAUGUUGGGUUAAGUCCCGCAACGAGCGCAACCCACGUCUUUAGUUGCCAGCAUUCAGUUGGGCACUCUAGAGAGACCGCCGGUGAUAAACCGGAGGAAGGUGUGGAUGACGUCAAGUCAUCAUGCCCUUUACAUCCUGGGCUACACACGUACUACAAUGCUACGGACAAAGGGCAGCAAGCUCGCGAGAGUUAGCAAAUCCCAUAAACCGUGGCUCAGUUCAGAUCGUAGGCUGCAACUCGCCUACGUGAAGGAGGAAUCGCUAGUAAUCGCAGGUCAGCAUACUGCGGUGAAUACGUUCCCGGGCCUUGUACACACCGCCCGUCACACCAUGGAAGUUGGCCAUGCCCGAAGUCGUUACUCCAACCC